AAAGCACCAAUUUGUAAGUCGCUCUGGAUAAGAGCGUCUGCUAAAUGACGUAAA
rfam:Salmo salar isolate Sally breed double haploid chromosome ssa12, whole genome shotgun sequence.